rnacentral:rRNA from 1 species
CCUACGGGAGGCAGCAGUGAGGAAUAUUGGUCAAUGGGCGGAAGCCUGAACCAGCCAAGUAGCGUGCAGGAUGACGGCCCUACGGGUUGUAAACUGCUUUUAUACGGGAAUAACGCGCCUUACGUGUAGGGCUUUGCAUGUAACGUAUGAAUAAGGACCGGCUAAUUCCGAGCCCGCAUCCGCGGUUAACAGGAAGGUCCGGGCGUUUACCGGAUUUAUUGGGGUUAAAGGGGGCGGCGGCCGAAUUUCAAGCGUGCUGUGAAAUGUUCGGGGUCAACCCGGGCCUUGCAGCGCGAACUGGCGUGCUUGAGUCCGCGGAAAGCAGGCGGAAUUCGUCGUGUAGCGGUGAAAUGCUUAGAUAUGACGAAGAACCCCGAUUGCGAAGGCAGCUUGCUGCAGCGGAACUGACGCUGAUGCUCGAAAGCGCGGGUAUCGAACAGGAUUAGAUACCCUAGUAGUC